rnacentral:tRNA from 3 species
GCGGGUGUAGCUCAGCGGUAGAGCAUCAGCUUCCCAAGCUGAGGGUCGCGGGUUCGAAUCCCGUCGCCCGCUCCA